rnacentral:rRNA from 1 species
UACGUAGGGGGCAAGCGUUGUCCGGAUUCAUUGGGCGUAAAGAGCGUGUAGGCGGCCAGGUAGGUCGGUUGUGAAAACUGGAGGCUCAACCUUCAGAGGUCGACCGAAACCAUCUGGCUAGAGUCCGGGAGAGGAGAGUGGAAUUCCUGGUGUAGCGGUGAAAUGCGCAGAUAUCAGGAAGAACACCCGUGGCGAAGGCGGCUCUCUGGGCCUUUCCUGACGCUGAGACGCGAAAGCGUGGGGAGCGAACCGG